rnacentral:rRNA from 2 species
CCGCGACCCCAGGUCAGGCGGGAUCACCCGCUGAGUUUAAGCAUAUC